rnacentral:lncRNA from 1 species
UGGGAGAGAGGAAAUAAGGGCCAGACUGUGAUAGUAUGAGCCGAGAUAAGCUUGGUGCUGUUUCUUGUUUUUUUUUUUGUUUUGUUGUUUAAAGUUCUGAAUACUGUGAAAAGAAUUCGUGGAAUAAAUCAGGGAAAUGAUUUAUGAGAUAUUGGGUGUGUAAUUGAAGUAUUGUGUGAUUGAAGGAGAGAAAUUUGGAAGUUGUUAUCAGAUUCUGUGAAGAUUAAUUAUAACUGGAAGAUUAUGAUCGUGGUUAAUUGAAAACUGUGUGUGUUCGGACCGAGGAAAUCUGGGAAAAUAGAAAUUGUGUAAAGCCAAAUUAAUUGAGUAAGAUUGGUUAUUCCUGGUGUUGGAUGGAAUUUAUGU